CUGAAGCCGAAAGGAUUGUGUCAUUAAGAAACUGACUCACAAAUCAUACUUCUAGGCACAGCCUUCAAUGAGAGAGUUCUCAGAGAAGGAUCGUGACUGAGGCUGCUCCUGGCUAACGUUGCUGAAGAGAUGUCUGCACUCCCACACGCAUUACAGCAUUAUUAACCGACAGCCAAGCUGUAGACACAAGGUGUCACAGAAGAAUGACAGAGAAAAGGUUGGGCAGAUGUUCUUUCUGGAUUCAGCUUUUCUGAGACAAUCGUAAAGAGUGCCAAGACAUCGAGCAGAGCUGGCAGCCACCUGC
rnacentral:lncRNA from 1 species